GAUGAACGCUGGCGGCGUGCCUAAUACAUGCAAGUCGAGCGAACAGACGAGGAGCUUGCUCCUCUGACGUUAGCGGCGGACGGGUGGGUAACACGUGGAUAACCUACCUAUAAGACUGGGAUAACUUCGGGAAACCGGAGCUAAUACCGGAUAAUAUAUUGAACCGCAUGGUUCAAUAGUGAAAGACGGUUUUGCUGUCACUUAUAGAUGGAUCCGCGCCGCAUUAGCUAGUUGGUAAGGUAACGGCUUACCAAGGCAACGAUGCGUAGCCGACCUGAGAGGGUGAUCGGCCACACUGGAACUGAGACACGGUCCAGACUCCUACGGGAGGCAGCAGUAGGGAAUCUUCCGCAAUGGGCGAAAGCCUGACGGAGCAACGCCGCGUGAGUGAUGAAGGUCUUCGGAUCGUAAAACUCUGUUAUUAGGGAAGAACAAAUGUGUAAGUAACUAUGCACGUCUUGACGGUACCUAAUCAGAAAGCCACGGCUAACUACGUGCCAGCAGCCGCGGUAAUACGUAGGGUGCAAGCGUUGUCCGGAAUUACUGGGCGUAAAGAGCUCGUAGGUGGUUUGUCACGUCGUCUGUGAAAUUCCACAGCUUAACUGUGGGCGUGCAGGCGAUACGGGCUGACUUGAGUACUGUAGGGGUAACUGGAAUUCCUGGUGUAGCGGUGAAAUGCGCAGAUAUCAGGAGGAACACCGAUGGCGAAGGCAGGUUACUGGGCAGUUACUGACGCUGAGGAGCGAAAGCAUGGGUAGCAAACAGGAUUAGAUACCCUGGUAGUCCAUGCCGUAAACGGUGGGCGCUAGGUGUAGGGGCCUUUUGGGGUUUCUGUGCCGUAGCUAACGCAUUAAGCGCCCCGCCUGGGGAGUACGGCCGCAAGGCUAAAACUCAAAGGAAUUGACGGGGGCCCGCACAAGCGGCGGAGCAUGUGGAUUAAUUCGAUGCAACGCGAAGAACCUUACCUGGGCUUGACAUACACCAGAUCGCUGCAGAGAUGUAGUUUCCCUUGUGGCUGGUGUACAGGUGGUGCAUGGCUGUCGUCAGCUCGUGUCGUGAGAUGUUGGGUUAAGUCCCGCAACGAGCGCAACCCUUGUCUUAUGUUGCCAGCACGUUAUGGUGGGGACUCAUGAGAGACUGCCGGGGUUAACUCGGAGGAAGGUGGGGACGACGUCAAGUCAUCAUGCCCCUUAUGUCCAGGGCUUCACACAUGCUACAAUGGCCGGUACAAUGCGCAGCGAGCCUGUGAGGGUGAGCUAAUCGCUUAAAGCUGGUCUUAGUUCGGAUUGGGGUCUGCAACUCGACCCCAUGAAGUCGGAGUCGCUAGUAAUCGCAGAUCAGCAAUGCUGCGGUGAAUACGUUCCCGGGCCU
rnacentral:rRNA from 1 species